GCCAGCAUGGCAUAGUGGGUUGAGUGUUGGACUAUAAUUCUAGUGACCAGGAUUCAAUUCCCAGCUUGGCC